UACGUAGGGUGCAAGCGUUGUCCGGAAUUAUUGGGCGUAAAGAGCUCGUAGGCGGUUUGUCGCGUCGAAUGUGAAAACCCGGGGCUCAACCCCGGGCCUGCAUUCGAUACGGGCAGACUAGAGUUCGGUAGGGGAGUCUGGAAUUCCUGGUGUAGCGGUGAAAUGCGCAGAUAUCAGGAGGAACACCGAUGGCAAAGGCAGGUCUCUGGGCAUUAACUGACGCUGGAGGAGCGAAAGCAUGGGGAGCGAACAGG
rnacentral:rRNA from 1 species